UAAGUAGGUGGAAGUCUAAGCGAUAACACCCUAACCUUACGGCUUCCUGGAAACAAAAUAUUAUCACCACCCUAAAUAAAAUUGCAGCAACCAGUUUAGAAAACAGCGAGCAAGCGUGAGGGUCUCACAUACAGGUCCUCCAGCAUCAUAGCGCGGCCCUCCCACGAGGAAUAUGUGGGGUAGUACAAUGCAUAGCCCAGGAUGGCCCGGUCCGACGUGGCCUCUGCUACUUUACAGUGAAAUGCUGGAGGCUGGAUCCCGAAGCCAUGAGUUUCCAAAUCUGGUAUAGGUGCGCAGCGUGGCGAGUGUUGCGAUAUACUGAGCAAUAGCCACCGGCCCGCAGCACUGCAGAUUACCUAUAAGUAUUGAA